AGGAUUGUAGCUCAGUGGUAAAGCAGCUGCUUCACAUACAGAAGAUCCAGGGUUCAGUCCCUGGCAUCUCCA